rnacentral:rRNA from 1 species
UUGAUACCCCACUAUACCUAGUCAUAAACUUUUAACUUACACCCACAUCGCCUGGGAACUACGAGCUAAGCUUAAAACCCAAGGGACUUGACGGUACCCUGCAUCCACCUAGAGGAGCCUGUCCUAUAAUCGAUAACCCCCGUUUAACCUCACCACUUUUAGUUUCCAGCAUGUAUACUUCCGUCGUCAGCUUACCAUGUGAAUGUCAUUAAGUAAGCUUAAUGUAUUUUCUACAACACGUCAGGUCAAAGUGCAGCAAAUAUAGUGGGAAGAGAUGGGCUACACUUUCUAUCUUAGAAAACACGAAAGAUUUUUAUGAAACACAAUCAGAAGGCGGAUUUAGUAGUAAACGGAACAUAGAGUUUUCCUUUUAACUCGGCACCGGGGUGUGUACACACCGC